rnacentral:rRNA from 2 species
UACAUAGGGUCCGAGCGUUGUCCGGAAUCAUUGGGCGUAAAGCGCAUGUAGGCGGCCCUUUAAGUCGGAUGUGAAAUCCCGAGGCUCAACUUCGGAACUGCAUCCGAUACUGGGGGGCUUGAGGAAGGUAGAGGAGAGUGGAAUUCCCGGUGUAGCGGUGGAAUGCGCAGAUAUCGGGAGGAACACCAGCGGCGAAGGCGGCUCUCUGGGCCUCUCCUGACGCUGAGAUGCGAAAGCGUGGGUAGCGAACAGG